UGGGGAAUAUUGCACAAUGGGCGCAAGCCUGAUGCAGCAACGCCGCGUGAGGGAUGACGGCCUUCGGGUUGUAAACCUCUUUUAGUAGGGAAGAAGCGAAAGUGACGGUACCUGCAGAAAAAGCACCGGCUAACUACGUGCCAGCAGCCGCGGUAAUACGUAGGGUGCGAGCGUUGUCCGGAAUUAUUGGGCGUAAAGAGCUCGUAGGCGGUCUGUCGCGUCUGCUGUGAAAACCCGAGGCUCAACCUCGGGCCUGCAGUGGGUACGGGCAGACUAGAGUGCGGUAGGGGAGAAUGGAAUUCCUGGUGUAGCGGUGGAAUGCGCAGAUAUCAGGAGGAACACCGAUGGCGAAGGCAGUUCUCUGGGCCGUAACUGACGCUGAGGAGCGAAAGCGUGGGGAGCGAACAGGAUUAGAUACCCUGGUAGUCCACGCCGUAAACGUUGGGCGCUAGAUGUGGGGACCAUUCCACGGUUUCCGUGUCGCAGCUAACGCAUUAAGCGCCCCGCCUGGGGAGUACGGCCGCAAGGCUAAAACUCAAAGGAAUUGA
rnacentral:rRNA from 1 species